AUUGAACGCUAGCGGGAUGCCUUACACAUGCAAGUCGAACGAGUGGCGGACGGGUGAGUAAUAUAUCCGAACGUGCCCAGUAGCGGGAGAUAACUACUCUAAAACGUGGCUAAAAGCGCAUACUAUAGGUGCGGCCGAUAUCGGAUUAGCUAGUUCGGUGGGUAAAGGCUCACCAAGGCAAAGAUCACUAGCAGGUUUGAGAGGACGACCGGCCACAAUGGGACUGAGACACGGCCCAGACGCCUACGGGAGGCAGCAGUGGGGAAUAUUGGACAAUGGGGGAAACCCUGAUCCAGCCAUCCCGCGUGUAUGAGAAGGCCUUCGGGUUGUAAAAUACUUUUGGCAGAGAAGCGGUAUCUGCAGAAUAAGCACCGGCUAAGUACGUGCCAGCAGCCGCGGUAAUAC
rnacentral:rRNA from 1 species